AUUGAACGCUGGCGGCAGGCUUAACACAUGCAAGUCGAGCGGAGAUGAGGUGCUUGCACCUUAUCUUAGCGGCGGACGGGUGAGUAAUGCUUAGGAAUCUGCCUAUUAGUGGGGGACAACAUUCCGAAAGGAAUGCUAAUACCGCAUACGCCCUACGGGGGAAAGCAGGGGAUCUUCGGACCUUGCGCUAAUAGAUGAGCCUAAGUCGGAUUAGCUAGUUGGUGGGGUAAAGGCCUACCAAGGCGACGAUCUGUAGCGGGUCUGAGAGGAUGAUCCGCCACACUGGGACUGAGACACGGCCCAGACUCCUACGGGAGGCAGCAGUGGGGAAUAUUGGACAAUGGGCGGAAGCCUGAUCCAGCCAUGCCGCGUGUGUGAAGAAGGCCUUUUGGUUGUAAAGCACUUUAAGCGAGGAGGAGGCUACUUAGAUUAAUACUCUAGGAUAGUGGACGUUACUCGCAGAAUAAGCACCGGCUAACUCUGUG
rnacentral:rRNA from 1 species